rnacentral:rRNA from 1 species
UACGUAGGUGGCGAGCGUUAUCCGGAAUUAUUGGGCGUAAAGCGCGCGCAGGCGGUUCCUUAAGUCUGAUGUGAAAGCCCACGGCUCAACCGUGGAGGGUCAUUGGAAACUGGGGAACUUGAGUGCAGAAGAGAAGAGCGGAAUUCCACGUGUAGCGGUGAAAUGCGUAGAGAUGUGGAGGAACACCAGUGGCGAAGGCGGCUCUUUGGUCUGUAACUGACACUGAGGCGCGAAAGCGUGGGGAGCAAACAGG